GCUCAAAUUUGAAAUCUAGCACCUUCGGUGUUUGAGUUGUAAUUUGAAGAUGGUAACCUUGGGUUUGGCUCUUGUCUAUGUUCCUUGGAACAGGACGUCAUAGAGGGUGAGAAUCCCGUCUGAUGAGAUGCCCAUUCCUAUGUAAGGUGCUAUCGAAGAGUCGAGUUGUUUGGGAAUGCAGCUCUAAGUGGGUGGUAAAUUCCAUCUAAAGCUAAAUAUUGGCGAGAGACCGAUAGCGAACAAGUACAGUGAUGGAAAGAUGAAAAGAACUUUGAAAAGAGAGUGAAAAAGUACGUGAAAUUGUUGAAAGGGAAGGGCAUUAGAUCAGACUUGGUGUUUUACGAUUAUCUUCUCUUCUUGAGUUGUGCACUCGUAUUUCACUGGGCCAGCAUCGAUUCGGAUGGCAAGAUAAUGGCAGUUGAAUGUGGCUUCACUUCGGUGGAGUGUUAUAGCUUCUGCUGAUAUUGCCUGUCUGGAUCGAGGGCUGCGUCUUUUGACUAGGAUGCUGGCGUAAUGAUCUAAUGCCGCCCGUC
rnacentral:rRNA from 1 species